rnacentral:rRNA from 1 species
GCCCUGGCGGUGCCCUGCCGUUAAACCCCCAACUUCUGAAAAUUUGACCUCG